GCUGGCAGCUAGCUCUCUGCAACUCUCACAUGGUCACCCACUGAAGCUAAGCAGGGCUGCGCCCGGUCAGUACCUGGAUGGAAGACCACAUGGGAAAGCUAGGUUGCUGUCGGUG
rnacentral:rRNA from 1 species